CGGCAGGCCUAACACAUGCAAGUCGAGCGGUAGCACAGAGAGCUUGCUCUCGGGUGACGAGCGGCGGACGGGUGAGUAAUGUCUGGGAAACUGCCUGAUGGAGGGGGAUAACUACUGGAAACGGUAGCUAAUACCGCAUAACGUCGCAAGACCAAAGUGGGGGACCUUCGGGCCUCAUGCCAUCAGAUGUGCCCAGAUGGGAUUAGCUGGUAGGUGGGGUAACGGCUCACCUAGGCGACGAUCCCUAGCUGGUCUGAGAGGAUGACCAGCCACACUGGAACUGAGACACGGUCCAGACUCCUACGGGAGGCAGCAGUGGGGAAUAUUGCACAAUGGGCGCAAGCCUGAUGCAGCCAUGCCGCGUGUGUGAAGAAGGCCUUCGGGUUGUAAAGCACUUUCAGCGGGGAGGAAGGCGGUGAGGUUAAUAACCUCAUCGAUUGACGUUACCCGCAGAAGAAGCACCGGCUAACUCCGUGCCAGCAGCCGCGGUAAUACGGAGGGUGCAAGCGUUAAUCGGAAUUACUGGGCGUAAAGCGCACGCAGGCGGUCUGUCAAGUCGGAUGUGAAAUCCCCGGGCUCAACCUGGGAACUGCAUUCGAAACUGGCAGGCUAGAGUCUUGUAGAGGGGGGGUAGAAUUCCAGGUGUAGCGGUGAAAUGCGUAGAGAUCUGGAGGAAUACCGGUGGCGAAGGCGGCCCCCUGGACAAAGACUGACGCUCAGGUGCGAAAGCGUGGGGAGCAAACAGGAUUAGAUACCC
rnacentral:rRNA from 1 species